GGAAAUUAUAGUGAAAUUCUUGAUGACCCUUUUGUUGAUGCUGUGUAUAUGCCAUUACCCACUACUUUUCAUCUUCAGUGGGCAAUUUUAGCCGCUGAAAAGAAGAAACAUUUGUUGUUGGAAAAACCUACUGCUUUGAAUGUUGAAGAAUUGGAUAAGAUUCUUGAUGCUUGUGACAAAAAUGGGGUUCAGUUUAUGGAUGCUAGUAUGUGGUAUCAUCAUCCAAGAACUGGGAAAAUGAAGGAGAUGAUUCUUGAUUCUAACCUAUUUGGACAAGUUAAAGCUAUCCACAGCUCAUCAUCAUAUGCA
rnacentral:misc_RNA from 1 species